AUUGAAGGAUGUUUAUGCUCAUUGGGUCCCUGAAGCCAAUAUCAUUACCACCAACUUGUGGUCCGCUGAGCUCUCAAAGUUGGCUGCCAAUGCAUUUUUGGCACAAAGAAUCUCUUCUGUGAAUGCCAUGUCAGCUCUCUGUGAGGCUACAGGAGCAAACGUUUCACAGGUGGCAUAUGCUGUUGGUAAGGACUCGAGAAUUGGUCCCAAGUUCCUCAACGCAAGUGUUGGUUUUGGUGGAUCUUGCUUCCAGAAGGAUAUUCUGAACCUGGUUUACAUUUGCGAGUGCAAUGGUCUGCCUGAGGUUGCUGAAUACUGGAAACAAGUUAUCAAGAUUAAUGACUAUCAGAAGAGUCGUUUUGUCAAUCGUGUUGUUGCCUCUAUGUUCAACACAGUGUCAAACAAGAAAGUUGCAAUUCUAGGUUUUGCUUUCAAGAAGGACACUGGCGAUACUCGAGAGACCCCUGCAAUUGAUGUAUGCAAGGGACUAGUGGGGGAUAAUGCUAAAUUGAGCAUAUACGAUCCUCAGGUGCAGGAGGACCAAAUCCAGAGGGACCUCUCCAUGAAGAAGUUUGACUGGGAUCAUCCCCUUCACCUCCAACCAAUGAGUCCCACAUCCGUGAAACAACAAGUCAGUGUUACUAUGGAUGCCUACGGUGCAACAAAAGAUGCCCAUGCUGUCUGCAUUCUCACAGAGUGGGAUGAGUUCAAGACCCUUGAUUUCCAGAAGAUAUAUGAUAACAUGCAAAAACCCGCUUUUGUUUUUGAUGGCAGGAAUGUUGUGAAUGCUGAAAAGCUAAGAGAGAUUGGGUUUAUCGUCUACUCAAUUGGUAAGCCUCUCGAUGCCUGGCUUAAGGACAUGCCUGCUGUCGCUUAAGAGCCUUACAUUGCUCGAGUGACUUGUUUUGGUCUUAAAGAUAUUAGUUAUCAGACAAUCAUCAGCUGGGAUUCUUUACUAUUUUUUUUACCACUUCAAUUUCUGUUUCCAUUUUAUCCAUUGUAGUCAUAAGACCACCAUCGUCACUAUCUUGAGUCACAUGUAAGAUGUUUUCUGUUUCUUUUGUAUUGAUGAUACUUGUUUUUAUCAUUUACUUGUCAUGUCGGAGGAUUUAUUUGUUCGAUUAUGAAGGGUAUUUAAGUUUUGA
rnacentral:misc_RNA from 1 species